AUACUGAUGUCCUGCUGUGUCCUUGUGAUUGCUGCUCUAAUUAUCUGCAGAAAGAGAAAGCCUGUCUGUGCACACUGCAAAGGAGACAUAACUGCGUCCAACCGCGUUCGCUAUGUCAGAUCGUCUGAGGAUCAACCAAAUUAUGGGGAUGGUGACGCAGUGGAAGUGAACUACGCAGCGCUGGAUUUCACUUCGAGAAAAGCAAAAAGAUCGAAGAAUAACAUAGAUCUCCCG